rnacentral:rRNA from 1 species
AGAGUUUGAUCCUGGCUCAGGAUGAACGCUAGCGGGAGGCUUAACACAUGCAAGUCGAGGGGCAGCACGGGGUAGCAAUAUCCUGGUGGCGACCGGCGCACGGGUGAGUAACGCGUAUGCAACCUACCCUGUACAGGGGGAUAGCCCGGAGAAAUUCGGAUUAAUACCCCAUAAAGAUAUUGAGAGGCAUCUUUUAAUAUUUAAAGAUUUAUCGGUACGGGAUGGGCAUGCGUAACAUUAGCUAGUUGGUAGGGUAACGGCCUACCAAGGCAACGAUGUUUAGGGGUCCUGAGAGGGUGAUCCCCCACACUGGUACUGAGACACGGACCAGACUCCUACGGGAGGCAGCAGUGAGGAAUAUUGGUCAAUGGGCGUAAGCCUGAACCAGCCAUCCCGCGUGCAGGAAGACGGCGCUAUGCGUUGUAAACUGCUUUUCCAGGGGAAGAAAACUCUCGUCGUGACGAGACUUGCCGGUACCUUGGGAAUAAGCAUCGGCUAACUCCGUGCCAGCAGCCGCGGUAAUACGGAGGAUGCGAGCGUUAUCCGGAUUUAUUGGGUUUAAAGGGUGCGUAGGCGGAUUAAUAAGUCAGUGGUGAAAACCUUCAGCUUAACUGGAGAACUGCCAUUGAUACUGUUAGUCUUGAGUACGGUCAAGGUAGGCGGAAUGUGUAAUGUAGCGGUGAAAUGCUUAGAUAUUACACAGAACACCGACGAAGGCAGCUUACUGGGCCAUUACUGACGCUAUGCACGAAAGCGUGGGGAGCAAACAUAGAUACCCUGGUAGUCAAGGGCGAAUCCAGCAAUGGGUUACUAUGGAUCCA